rnacentral:rRNA from 1 species
GAAGAAUCCAGAGAUGGAUUUGUGCCUUCGGGAACUGUGAGACAGGUGCUGCAUGGCUGUCGUCAGCUCGUGUUGUGAAAUGUUGGGUUAAGUCCCGCAACGAGCGCAACCCUUAUCCUUUGUUGCCAGCGGUUAGGCCGGGAACUCAAAGGAGACUGCCAGUGAUAAACUGGAGGAAGGUGGGGAUGACGUCAAGUCAUCAUGGCCCUUACGACCAGGGCUACACACGUGCUACAAUGGCGCAUACAAAGAGAAGCGAUCUCGCGAGAGCAAGCGGACCUCAUAAAGUGCGUCGUAGUCCGGAUUGGAGUCUGCAACUCGACUCCAUGAAGUCGGAAUCGCUAGUAAUCGUGGAUCAGAAUGCCACGGUGAAUACGUUCCCGGGCCUUGUACACACCGCCCGUCACACCAUGGGAGUGGGUUGCAAAAGAAGUAGGUAGCUUAACCUUCGGGAGGGCGCUUACCACUUUGUGAUUCAUGACUGGGGUGAAGUCGUAACAAGGUAACCGUAGGGGAACCUGCGGUUGGAUCACCUCCUUACCUGAAAGAA